rnacentral:miRNA from 1 species
CCAGCACGCGCCGUGUGACCCU